UACGAAGGGGGCUAGCGUUGUUCGGAUUUACUGGGCGUAAAGCGCACGUAGGCGGUUUGUUAAGUGAGAGGUGAAAUCCCAGAGCUCAACUCUGGAACUGCCUUUCAUACUGGCAAGCUAGAGUCCGGAAGAGGUAAGUGGAACUCCUAGUGUAGAGGCGGAAUUCGUAGAUAUUAGGAAGAACACCAGUGGCGAAGGCGGCUUACUGGUCCGGAACUGACGCUGAGGUGCGAAAGCGUGGGGAGCAAACAGG
rnacentral:rRNA from 1 species